rnacentral:rRNA from 1 species
UACGUAGGGUGCGAGCGUUAAUCGGAAUUACUGGGCGUAAAGCGUGCGCAGGCGGUCGUGCAAGACAGAUUUGAAAUCCCCGGGCUUAACCUGGGAACUGCAUUUGUGACUGUACGGCUGGAGUGCGGCAGAGGGGGAUGGAAUUCCGCGUGUAGCAGUGAAAUGCGUAGAUAUGCGGAGGAACACCGAUGGCGAAGGCAAUCCCCUGGGCCUGCACUGACGCUCAUGCACGAAAGCGUGGGGAGCAAGCAGG